UCAUGCAAGUCGAGCGGAGUUGAAAGAGAGCUUGCUCUCCUGAUGGUUAGCGGCGGACGGGUGAGUAACACGUAGGCAACCUGCCUGCAAGACCGGGAUAACCCACGGAAACGUGAGCUAAUACCGGAUAUCUCAUUUCCUCUCCUGAGGGGAUGAUGAAAGACGGAGCAAUCUGUCACUUGCGGAUGGGCCUGCGGCGCAUUAACUAGUUGGUGAGGUAACGGCUCACCAAGGCGACGAUGCGUAGCCGACCUGAGAGGGUGAACGGCCACACUGGGACUGAGACACGGCCCAGACUCCUACGGGAGGCAGCAGUAGGGAAUCUUCCGCAAUGGGCGAAAGCCUGACGGAGCAACGCCGCGUGAGUGAUGAAGGUUUUCGGAUCGUAAAGCUCUGUUGCCAGGGAAGAACGUCCGAUAGAGUAACUGCUAUCGGAGUGACGGUACCUGAAAAGAAAGCCCCGGCUAACUACGUGCCAGCAGCCGCGGUAAUACGUACGGGGCAAGCGUUGUCCGGAAUUAUUGGGCGUAAAGCGCGCGCAGGCGGUCAUUUAAGUCUGGUGUUUAAGGCCAAUGCUCA
rnacentral:rRNA from 1 species